rnacentral:rRNA from 2 species
GGGAGCUUGCUCCCUGAUUCAGCGGCGGACGGGUGAGUAAUGCCUAGGAAUCUGCCUGGUAGUGGGGGACAACGUCUCGAAAGGGACGCUAAUACCGCAUACGUCCUACGGGAGAAAGCAGGGGACCUUCGGGCCUUGCGCUAUCAGAUGAGCCUAGGUCGGAUUAGCUAGUUGGUGAGGUAAUGGCUCACCAAGGCUGCGAUCCGUAACUGGUCUGAGAGGAUGAUCAGUCACACUGGAACUGAGACACGGUCCAGACUCCUACGGGAGGCAGCAGUGGGGAAUAUUGGACAAUGGGCGAAAGCCUGAUCCAGCCAUGCCGCGUGUGUGAAGAAGGUCUUCGGAUUGUAAAGCACUUUAAGUUGGGAGGAAGGGCAGUAAGUUAAUACCUUGCUGUUUUGACGUUACCGACAGAAUAAGCACCGGCUAACUUCGUGCCAGCAGCCGCGGUAAUACGAAGGGUGCAAGCGUUAAUCGGAAUUACUGGGCGUAAAGCGCGCGUAGGUGGUUUGUUAAGUUGGAAGUGAAAGCCCCGGGCUCAACCUGGGAACUGCUUUCAAAACUGGCAAGCUAGAGUAUGGCAGAGGGUGGUGGAAUUUCCUGUGUAGCGGUGAAAUGCGUAGAUAUAGGAAGGAACACCAGUGGCGAAGGCGACCACCUGGGCUAAUACUGACACUGAGGUGCGAAAGCGUGGGGAGCAAACAGGAUUAGAUACCCUGGUAGUCCACGCCGUAAACGAUGUCGACUAGCCGUUGGGCUCCUUGAGAGCUUAGUGGCGCAGCUAACGCAUUAAGUCGACCGCCUGGGGAGUACGGCCGCAAGGUUAAAACUCAAAUGAAUUGACGGGGGCCCGCACAAGCGGUGGAGCAUGUGGUUUAAUUC